rnacentral:rRNA from 1 species
UACGUAGGGUGCGAGCGUUAAUCGGAAUUACUGGGCGUAAAGCGUGCGCAGGCGGUGAUGUAAGACAGGUGUGAAAUCCCCGGGCUCAACCUGGGAAUUGCAUUGGAGACUGCAAGGCUAGAAUCUGGCAGAGGGGGUAGAAUUCCACGUGUAGCAGUGAAAUGCGUAGAGAUGUGGAGGAACACCGAUGGCGAAGGCAGCCCCCUGGGUCAAGA